UACGUAGGGUGCAAGCGUUAAUCGGAAUUACUGGGCGUAAAGCGUGCGCAGGCGGUUUUGUAAGUCUGUCGUGAAAUCCCCGGGCCCAACCUGGGAAUUGCGAUGGAGACUGCAAGGCUAGAAUCUGGCAGAGGGGGGUAGAAUUCCACGUGUAGCAGUGAAAUGCGUAGAGAUGUGGAGGAACACCGAUGGCGAAGGCAGCCCCCUGGGUCAAGAUUGACGCUCAUGCACGAAAGCGUGGGGAGCAAACAGG
rnacentral:rRNA from 1 species